GACGAACGCUGGCGGCGUGCUUAACACAUGCAAGUCGAACGGAAAGGCCCUGCUUUUGUGGGGUGCUCGAGUGGCGAACGGGUGCGUAACACGUGAGUAACCUGCCCUUGACUUUGGGAUAACUUCAGGAAACUGGGGCUAAUACCGGAUAGGAGCUCCUGCUGCAUGGUGGGGGUUGGAAAGUUUCGGCGGUUGGGGAUGGACUCGCGGCUUAUCAGCUUGUUGGUGGGGUAGUGGCUUACCAAGGCUUUGACGGGUAGCCGGCCUGAGAGGGUGACCGGCCACAUUGGGACUGAGGUACGGCCCAGACUCCUACGGGAGGCAGCAGUGGGGAGUAUUGCACAAUGGUCGGAAGCCUGAUGCAGCAACGCCGCGUGCGGGAUGACGGCCUUCGGGUUGUAAACCGCUUUCGCCUGUGACGAAGCGUGAGUGACGGUAAUGGGUAAAGAAGCACCGGCUAACUACGUG
rnacentral:rRNA from 1 species